rnacentral:rRNA from 1 species
UACGAAGGGUGCAAACGUUGCUCGGAAUUAUUGGGCGUAAAGGGUGCGUAGGCGGUUUGAUAAGUCAUCUGUGAAAUCUCUGGGCUCAACCCAGAGUCUGCAGGCGAAACUGCCGUGCUGGAGUGUGGGAGAGGUGCGUGGAAUUCCUGGUGUAGCGGUGAAAUGCGUAGAUAUCAGGAGGAACACCUGUGGCGAAAGCGGCGCACUGGACCACAACUGACGCUGAGGCGCGAAAGCUAGGGGAGCAAACAGG